UUUUUCUUCAAUUGAAUUCCGGCUGCUGAUUUUUUUCUUCUUCUUGCCGAAUUGGAUCAGCCCCUGCUCUCUCUCCUCUCUUGUUGCCCCAAAUUCUUCUUCUCUUUAUUGCUUCCGCUUGAUCCUAUUUAUAAUGCUUCAAUUGUGGCUUUGUUUAAAUCCUUGCCUGGAGAGAAUUAAAUUCCAAGCUCAAAACCGCCACCUCAUGCUUCAAUUAAUAAGCCAAUAAUGAUUUCCUAAAGACAAAAGGCUUUAUUCUCUUUCCUUUCACGUGUCCACUUUUGGUUUGCAAUCUUUGUUUUCCAAUUUUGCUUUCAUGUGAUGGCUUGGCUUGUUAAUUGGCUUGGCUUCCUUUUUCUUCAAUUCCUUUUCGGUUUCUCCCUUGCUUUUCCUUCUUCCGGCUGCUAGUUCCUCAAAAUCAAAAGCCAAAAGUUGGCUUUUAUACUGCCCAAGAUUGGCCGUAUUUUAAAGCAAUUAAUUUGUUU
rnacentral:lncRNA from 1 species